rnacentral:rRNA from 1 species
UGGGGAAUAUUGCACAAUGGGGGAAACCCUGAUGCAGCGACGCCGCGUGAGCGAAGAAGGCUUUCGGGUCGUAAAGCUCUGUCCUAAGGGAAGAUAAUGACGGUACCUUAGGAGGAAGCCCCGGCUAACUACGUGCCAGCAGCCGCGGUAAUACGUAGGGGGCGAGCGUUAUCCGGAAUUAUUGGGCGUAAAGGGUUCGCAGGUGGUUCUUUAAGUCAGGUGUGAAAGGUAGUGGCUCAACCACUGCAAGCACUUGAAACUGGAGGACUUGAGUACAGGAGAGGAAAGCGGAAUUCCUAGUGUAGCGGUGAAAUGCGUAGAUAUUAGGAGGAACACCAGUGGCGAAGGCGGCUUUCUGGACUGAAACUGACACUGAGGAACGAAAGCGUGGGGAGCAAAC